rnacentral:rRNA from 1 species
AUGAACGCUGGCGGCGUGCCUAAUACAUGCAAGUCGAGCGAACGGACGAGAAGCUUGCUUCUCUGAUGUUAGCGGCGGACGGGUGAGUAACACGUGGAUAACCUACCUAUAAGACUGGGAUAACUUCGGGAAACCGGAGCUAAUACCGGAUAAUAUUUUGAACCGCAUGGUUCAAAAGUGAAAGACGGUCUUGCUGUCACUUAUAGAUGGAUCCGCGCUGCAUUAGCUAGUUGGUAAGGUAACGGCUUACCAAGGCAACGUUGCAUAGCCGACCUGAGAGGGUGAUCGGCCACACUGGAACUGAGACACGGUCCAGACUCCUACGGGAGGCAGCAGUAGGGAAUCUUCCGCAAUGGGCGAAAGCCUGACGGAGCAACGCCGCGUGAGUGAUGAAGGUCUUCGGAUCGUAAAACUCUGUUAUUAGGGAAGAACAUAUGUGUAAGUAACUGUGCACAUCUUGACGGUACCUAAUCAGAAAGCCACGGCUAACUACGUG